GAGUUUGAUCAUGGCUCAGGAUGAACGCUGGCGGCGUGCUUAACACAUGCAAGUCGAACGAACCUUCGGGUUAGUGGCGGACGGGUGAGUAACGCGUGAGAAUCUGCCCUCAGGAGGGGGAUAACGGCUGGAAACGGCCGCUAAUACCCCAUAUGCCGAGAGGUGAAAUGAAUUUCGCCUGAGGAUGAGCUCGCGUCUGAUUAGCUAGUUGGUGCGGUAAUGGCUCACCAAGGCUUCGAUCAGUAGCUGGUCUGAGAGGACGAUCAGCCACACUGGGACUGAGACACGGCCCAGACUCCUACGGGAGGCAGCAGUGGGGAAUUUUCCGCAAUGGGCGAAAGCCUGACGGAGCAACGCCGCGUGAGGGAUGAAGGCCUCUGGGCUGUAAACCUCUUUUCUCAAGGAAGAAGAACUGACGGUACUUGAGGAAUAAGCCACGGCUAAUUCCGUGCCAGCAGCCGCGGUAAUACGGGAGUGGCAAGCGUUAUCCGGAAUUAUUGGGCGUAAAGCGUCCGCAGGCGGCCUUGAAAGUCUGUCGUUAAAGCGUGGGGCUCAACUCCAUUUCAGCGAUGGAAACUACAAGGCUCGAGUGUGGUAGGGGCAGAGGGAAUUCCCGGUGUAGCGGUGAAAUGCGUAGAUAUCGGGAAGAACACCAGUGGCGAAGGCGCUCUGCUGGGCCAUAACU
rnacentral:rRNA from 1 species